UUGAAAGUAAUUUUGCUGGUCAAAAGAUCUUUACGAAAAAAAAAUAAAAUUGCAAAUUAAGUGAUGCUAAUAAGUUACAUAAGCUGACCAAUAUACACGGCGGAAGAAUAUAAUUCUUGGUGAUAAUGCUGAACGUAACAGACAUCAGGCAUUUGGAUACAGCAAUUUUUGACGAAACAUUUGGCAGCUAUCCAAAGAUUUCCAAAUAAAUAAAAUACUAUUUGUAAUGCCUUUUUCAGCUAGUUUUGAAAUUACGGACUAAAUUGACAAUGCCCCAUAUAUCCCGCAAA